GGUUCCGUGGCCUAAUGGCUAGGGCGCUAGAUUUCGGUGAUAUAUAAAAAUAUCGGAAUUCUCUAGAGAUUGUCGGUUCGAGUCCGGCCGGGAUCG
rnacentral:tRNA from 1 species